UUGAACUGAAGAGUUUGAUCCUGGCUCAGAUUGAACGGCGGCAUGCCUUACACAUGCAAGUCGAACGGCAGCACGGGUGCUUGCACCUGGUGGCGAGUGGCGAACGGGUGAGUAAUACAUCGGAACAUGUCCUGUAGUGGGGGAUAGCCCGGCGAAAGCCGGAUUAAUACCGCAUACGAUCCACGGAUGAAAGCGGGGGACCUUCGGGCCUCGCGCUAUAGGGUUGGCCGAUGGCUGAUUAGCUAGUUGGUGGGGUAAAGGCCUACCAAGGCGACGAUCAGUAGCUGGUCUGAGAGGACGACCAGCCACACUGGGACUGAGACACGGCCCAGACUCAGCAGUGGGGAAUUUUGGACAAUGGGCGAAAGCCUGAUCCAGCAAUGCCGCGUGUGUGAAGAAGGCCUUCUGUAAAGCACUUUUGUCCGGAAAGAAAUCCUUGGCUCUAAUACAGUCGGGGGAUGACGGUACCGGAAGAAUAAGCACCGGCUAACUACGUGCCAGCAGCCGCGGUAAUACGUAGGGUGCAAGCGUUAAUCGGAAUUACUGGCGUAAAGCGUGCGCAGGCGGUUUGCUAAGACCGAUGUGAAAUCCCCGGGCUCAACCCUGCAUUGGUGACUGGCAGGCUAGAGUAUGGCAGAGGGGGGUAGAAUUCCACGUGUAGCAGUGAAAUGCGUAGAGAUGUGGAGGAAUACCGAUGGCGAAGGCAGCCCCCUGGGCCAAUACUGACGCUCAUGCACGAAAGCGUGGGGAGCAAACAGGAUUAGAUACCCUGGUAGUCCACGCCCUAAACGAUGUCAACUAGUUGUUGGGGAUUCAUUUCCUUAGUAACGUAGCUAACGGCGUGAAGUUGACCGCCUGGGGAGUACGGUCGCAAGAUUAAAACUCAAAGGAAUUGACGGGGACCCGCACAAGCGGUGGAUGAUGUGGAUUAAUUCGAUGCAACGCGAAAAACCUUACCUACCCUUGACAUGGUCGGAAUCCCGCUGAGAGGUGGAGUGCUCGAAAGAGAACCGGCGCACAGGUGCUGCAUGGCUGUCGUCAGCUCGUGUCGUGAGAUGUUGGGUUAAGUCCCGCAACGAGCGCAACCCUUGUCCUUAGUUGCUACGCAAGAGCACUCUAAGGAGACUGCCGGUGACAAACCGGAGGAAGGUGGGAUGACGUCAAGUCCCUCAUGGCCCUAUGGGUAGGGCUUCACACGUCAUACAAUGGUCGAACAGAGGGUGCCAACCCGCGAGGGGGAGCUAAUCCCAGAAAACCGAUCGUAGUCCGGAUUGCACUCUGCAACUCGAGUGCAUGAAGCUGGAAUCGCUAGUAAUCGCGGAUCAGCAUGCCGCGGUGAAUACGUUCCCGGGUCUUGUACACACCGCCCGUCACACCAUGGAGUGGGUUUUACCAGAAGUGGCUAGUCUAACCGCAAGGAGGACGGUCACCACGGUAGGAUUCAUGACUGGGGUGAAGUCGUAACAAGGUAGCCGUAUCGGAAGGUGCGGCUGGAUCACCUCCUUUC
rnacentral:rRNA from 1 species